rnacentral:rRNA from 1 species
UACGGAGGGUGCAAGCGUUGUUCGGAAUUACUGGGCGUAAAGCGCGCGUAGGCGGCUUAGUAAGUUGGGAGUGAAAUCCCGGGGCUUAACUCCGGAAUUGCUUUCAAAACUACUAAGCUAGAGUAUGGUAGGGGACAGUGGAAUUCCUAGUGUAGAGGUGAAAUUCGUAGAUAUUAGGAGGAACACCGGUGGCGAAAGCGACUGUCUGGGCCAUUACUGACGCUGAGGCGCGAAAGCGUGGGGAGCAAACAGG